UCACUUUCUCACUCACUUUCUUUUGUGAUGAACCAAUUUCAUUCUUUUCUCCAAAUUUAGGGUUAGGACUUCAUAGAACUAAAUACCUCCCCCUCAUCUGUGAUGAACCAAUUUCAUUCUUUUCUCCAAAUUUAGGGUUAGGAUUUCUAAUGCAUCAUCACUUGUCCCAACCUUCUUCUUGAAACCCUUAACCUUCUUUACAAGGACACGAAGAGACGACUGUGUCUCGACCAGUCUACCACCGUGAAAUUUGGUAUACACAAUCUCAAUUGCUUCCACAUUAAAGCUAUGGGUUUCAUUUUCCUUGAUACUUGAUUGGACUGAUGGAUUCCUCCUGCAUUACCAAUAACCAAAAUUCUAGUACACGACAAAGAUUCUGGCUCCACACUUGCUGCUAGAAGGAGCAGCAUGUAGAACCUGAAUGAACAUUGGUUGAUGCACAGAGGGUUGGGUUUGAGAAUAUGUUACAUGCUUUAACAUUAGAGAGAAUAUGUGGUUUUGUUCAGAUACCGUCAAUGCAACUUGCGAGGAAGAAGAUUGUUGUGAUAAAAGGAUUAUAUAUUAGGUGAAAAGUAAACUCCAUCAAUGCAUGAUGCAAGUGCUUCAGUAGUUGGAAGAAAUUCUGUGGAUAGUGAAGCAUUGACAAAGGAUAUGCAUAAAAGAGGCUAGUUUGAAGUCAAGGCAAGUUCUAGUGUAGAACUCAUUUUCCAUUAUAGGUUUGUUUCUUUGUUCAUUAUUUUGUGAGCAAUUUUAUUUCAUUUGGUUUUUGUUUUGUUUUUAUUCAUGUUAUAUCCACUCUAAACAUUGUUUCAUAGAUUGAAUGGAAACAUUAAGUAGAAAGAUGGUUUGAAUUUAUUACAAGUGUAUUAUAAUAUAUCUAUUAUUAAUAAGGUUUUCAUGAAAUUAUUAAAUAUGGAGUGAAACAAAAUAGAAGAGAAAAAAGAUAAGGGAUAUUUUAAGGACUCUAUAAAAGGGAUUCCUAAGAUGGUUUUCAUUAAUUUUUGAACUCCCUGUCUUUCAUAAUUAUGUGAUUUAUUUAUUAUAGCUUGAUUUUGUUUGCACAAUGAGUUGUGAUUUUUUUUCAUGACUAAGAGAUUAUUGAUUACUAAGAUGGUUGACACUAGUUUUUUCCCAUAUUUAUUCACAUACCUCGUUAAGUGGUUUAUGAACUUUGUGAACUGUUGGAGCAUAAUGUAACUGAUGUUAAGAUUAUUAAUUGAUAUAAUUUGGUGGCCCUAUGAAAUAUGCUAAAGUAGUAUCCUGAUCCCAUUUAGUGAUUUAAAUUAGUGCAAAAAAGAAUGAUCAUGUAAACUAAAUAUUUCUAAUGUAUUGUGCCUUUAGUAUGUAAAAGUUUUUUCUAUUAUGUAUUUAUUCAUAGUUUGUGAUUACUUUUAAAUAUUCCUUUUAAUAUUUUAUAUUUUAAAUUUAUGUAAUUUUAUCAAUGCUCUAUCUGGUUUUUGGCAGAAAAAAAUGCUUUUGAUAGGAGAUGUCAAUGAUAGCGUUUUGUGUAAAAGUGGUAUUAAAUUAGAUAGCUAUAAUAGCACUUUCUAAAUAGUGCUAUUAAAGUUUAUUCAUAAAACUCAUGAAGUGGCAACGCCCUAACUAUACUUCGAUAGCACUUUUAGGAAAUCGCUAUUAAAUACUUCACUAUUAAUAGCGCUUUAAAAGUGCUAUUAUAUGUAGUUAACCUUUAAUAGCGGGGGGUUUAAUAGCGCUUAAAAGCGCUAUUAAAUGGCAAAAAAAAGCGCUAUUAAAUACCGUUUUUGGUGUAGUAUAUAUAAUUGGCGGAAUAAAGA